CAGGUAUGGUCACGUGAGACUGAAGGCCGUGAUGGAAGGACACUUGAGUACAGAAUGGACACGAAGAAGACAGCAGUCACAUUCAGUGUCCUGAUGUCAAGUUACGCGUGCCUGGAGGUUGGGUUGGAGCAGAAUCAUGGCAACACAGACGCCGUCACGGGAUUUGGGGAGGGGGCUACGAAAGACUAUCUGUAGAGCAUCACUUGUAUCAAGGCGAUGGGACUCACUGGGAGGGAGAGACUAAAGUUCAGGUCAGCGUGAGCCGUAACAAAGCUGUUUAUGGAGACGCGAGUAUUCUGAUUCCCCAAACAAUUGUAAUCACACAUCUCUGCACUGGUACAAUACCCAGUGUCUACUGGGGAAAAAAAAAAAAGUCACAGGAG